rnacentral:tRNA from 1 species
AGCUCAGCGGUAGAGCUCUUGCCUUGUAUGCAUGAGGCCGUGGGUUCAAUCCCUAGC